ACUCUGGAGAGUUCUGAAACAGACGCCGAAGGGGCAAGCCCGCAUAUGGGUGAAUCUCUCAGGCAAAAGGACAGAGGAU
rnacentral:ncRNA from 1 species